CAUUGAGGUUUGGGUGAAUGCCAUUCCCGGGCAAGGUGUUUCUGUUUGCACUGCAGCACACCUGGUGAGCUACUGAGAAUUCUUCAUCAACUUGCCUUUUCUUCAAAACCCUUGGCAAGCUCGUAAGGCAUGUGGCAAAGUUCUUUGCUCCUCCAGCUGAGUCUGGGUACACAGAGAGUGCUCUCCUCUCAAAAGCACACCAGUGGAUAUCAAUACCCCAGGAACAGGGUGCAGGGCAGGGACAGAGCUGUUAUCCAGCAGUUGGGCAGCUACAUUAGUGUUGGGUUAUUUGCAUUAUCUAUUAUUUACUCCCACAGGAGUAGGACAUUCAGGCAUCAGUUGUCUCUGCAUUAUGCUUGGUUGUGUGAAAAACUGUGGUCUGCUUGCCCAAAGGAAGAUGGAAGAUGCAUUCAUCUCAUUGUACAUCUUCUGCUUGAAAGACUGUGUUUUAAUCACCUAGCAGUCAAGUGAUUAAUAGCCUAUCAAGAAAUGUUAACAUUAGAAUACUAAAAUUAAUUUGUAUUUCCUAAAUCAUCUGAGAACCACAGAAUUUUCAUUUCACCAAUUUUUCUGAUAACUGCUAGAAAUGCAAGAAACAGCCUUAUUUAAAGAUGAAGUUACUGUCUUUACCAUCUCUAGAAGUAUAUGAUGUGUCUACAAGAUACCAAAAAAUAGCAGCUGGUCACGCCAACUACUUCUGAUGGGAAGGAAGUGGAGCAACAAAACACCUCCUCAAAUACUUUCUGUAGUGCUUUUAUACCUUCUGCACAUUCCCAGGCACUAACUAAUUAAUUACAACUCACUGAUGCAGGCAAUCACUCAAGCAUGUACAUGAAGACCAGAAAGAGGGCUGGAGUUUAGGAGCAUCUGGUUCUCAAUUAUGGGGCUGCUCUGUGAGAGCACAGCGCUCAUCUGCCUGUUCCACACAUGGCAGCAGAGCUUAUUUAUAGUUGCUACUCAGGAAGCAGUAAUUUGUAUUAAAAUAUGUAAUGACUGAAUUACUCUUCAGUGCCUGUGCUUGAGAAUAACAAAGUGUU